AGUUUGAUCCUGGCUCAGGACGAACGCUGGCGGCGUGCCUAAUGCAUGCAAGUCGAACGCACCCGCUUCGGCGGGUGAGUGGCGCACGGCUGAGUAACACGUGGGAACCCGCCCCCCGGUGGGGGAUAACGCGACGAAAGUUGCGCUAAUCCCGCAUACGUCCUUCGGGGGAAAGCGCAGUGCGCGCCGGGGGAGGGGCCUGCGGCCCAUCAGGUCGUUGGUGGGGUAAGGGCCUACCAAGCCGAUGACGGGUAGCUGGUCUGGGAGGAUGACCAGCCAGACUGGGACUGAGACACGGCCCAGACUCCUACGGGAGGCAGCAGCAAGGAAUUUUCGGCAAUGGGCGCAAGCCUGACCGAGCAACGCCGCGUGCGGGAUGACGGCCUUCGGGUUGUAAACCGCUUUUCGGGGGGACGAUGAUGACGGUACCUCCGGAACAAGCCCCGGCUAACUCUGUGCCAGCAGCCGCGGUAAGACAGAGGGGGCGAGCGUUGUCCGGAGUCACUGGGCGUAAAGCGCGCGCAGGCGGCAACCUAAGUGUCGUGUGAAAGCCCCCGGCUCAACCGGGGGAGGCCAUGGCAAACUGGGUCGCUCGAGCUGCGGAGAGGCCCCUCGAAUUGCCGGUGUAGCGGUGAAAUGCGUAGAGAUCGGCAGGAAGACCAAGGGGGAAGCCAGGGGGCUGGCCGCANGCUGACGCUGAGGCGCGACAGCGUGGGGAGCAAACCGGAUUAGAUACCCGGGUAGCCCACGCCGUAAACGAUGACCACUCGGCGUGUGGCGACUAUUGACGUCGCGGCGCGCCCUAGCUCACGCGAUAAGUGGUCCGCCUGGGAACUACGAGCGCAAGCUUAAAACUCAAAGGAAUUGA
rnacentral:rRNA from 1 species